rnacentral:rRNA from 1 species
GAUGAACGCUAGCUACAGGCUUAACACAUGCAAGUCGAGGGACCGGCGCACGGGUGAGUAACACUUAUCCAACCUGCCCUUUACUCGGGGAUAGCCUUUCGACAGAAAGAUUAAUACCCGAUAUAAAGGAUGGGGAUGCGUUCGAUUAGGUGGUUGGUGAGGUAACGGCUCACCAAGCAUUCGAUGGAUGGGGGUUCUGGGAGGAAGGUACACCACGUCGGAAAUGAGGGACGGACCAAAAGCCUAGGGGAGGCAACAGUGUGGGAUGUUGGGGAAUGGGGGCUGGCCUGAACCAGCCAAGUGGCGUGAAGGAGGAGGGGUUAUGGGUCGUAAACUUCUUUUAUAUAAGAAGAUGUAUUAUAUGAGUAAGGAUCGGCUAACUCCGUGCCAGCAGCCGCGGUAAUUC